GGCAUCAUAGAGGGUGAUAAUCCCGUACAUGGCAUGGAGCGCCCGAAGCUUUGUGAUACGCUUUCUAAGAGUCGAGUUGUUUGGGAAUGCAGCUCAAAAUGGGUGGUAAAUGCCAUCUAAGGCUAAAUAUUGGGGAGAGACCGAUAGCGAACAAGUACAGUGAUGGAAAGAUGAAAAGAACUUUGAAAAGAGAGUUAAACAGUACGUGAAAUUGCCAAAAGGGAAGGGUAGGAGGUCAGAGAUGCGGCCUGGGAUUCAGCCUUGCUUUUGCUUGGUGUUUUUCCCAGAUUGCAGGCCAACGUCGGUUUUGGGCACUGGAGAAGGGUAGGAGGAACGUGGCACCUCUCGGGGUGUGUUAUAGCCUCCUACUGGAUACAGCGACCGAGACCGAGGACAGCAGCGUACUCGCAAGAGCGGGCCUUCGGGCACCUUUACGCUUAGGGCGUUGGCAUAAUGGCCCUCUACCAC
rnacentral:rRNA from 1 species